rnacentral:lncRNA from 1 species
AAUUGUUUAAUAUCUCACUAAUUACUGAUUAUAGAAUUUUCUUUUCUAUCCUUAUAUGGUGAGGGAAAGGGGAGCUAAGAUGGAUAGGAUAAUACCAGUCAGUGCAAACCUGAUGUUGUGAAGGGUCAGCAAGGGAAGUUAUCAAUUCAAUCUAGGAAGCAAGACCCCAUCUCCCCAAAGUGAAGACAGUCAGAUGAGACUAUUGUUGUUGUUCGGAUAUCUCAGUCUUGUCUGCUUGUGAUGGAAUUUUCUUGGUGAAGAUCACUGGAGAAUUUUGCCAUUUCCUUCUCUAGCUCAUUUUACAGAUGAGGAAAAAGAAGCAAACGUGGUUAAAUGACUAGGGUUAUAAACUAGUAAGUGUCUGAGGUUAGAUUUGUAUUCAGGAAGAUGAGUUCCUGACUCCAGGCCCUGCUCUCUAUCCAUUGCACCACCUAGCUACCCUUUAGCUGCACCCAGAUGACUGCAAGCCAUCAAGUAAAAACUAAGAAGGCAAAGGAAAAGAGAUUGGAGCUCAGUGAAGUUAAUCAAAAGGGGGAUUUUGAAAGUGUGAAUCAGGUCAUGGGGUGGAGAUGAAAGCUAGUCUACUUGAAGGCUUGAAAAAGAGGGAGAAUGUGAGGCAAAAAUGGUUCAUGUCUAGGGAACCUUAGCCUAGCUGGGGCUAUACAGAAGCCUAGUGGUAGGGAAGUCAUUGAUACCUUGGCAGCCUGGUUAUUGUGAUGCUUUCAUUCCAUUGUGACUCACCUCUUCCCCAUAACCGUAGACUUCCAGAAUAAGUUCAUAGCAGGGUGGGGGGCUGGGGGGCCCCAGGUGGCCCUGGGACCCCCCCCAUCAUGAGACAUUCAAAGCAAGUGACCAAUCCCUGUCCAAGUCCUGGCUUUGAAUGCUGCCAGGACCUGGGCGAAUAUAUCUUGAUCUCUCUGGGACUCAUCAUCUCUGUCAACAUUGGGAUCAAUGUAGCAUUUCUGCUCUGGAGUCGCUUUGGGUGCUAUCUGAAACUUAAAAAAUGUUUUCAGAAAGAUAACAAGCGCAAGGCAGUCCCAUACAUUGCCCGGA